rnacentral:rRNA from 1 species
UACAGAGGUCCCGAGCGUUGUUCGGAUUCACUGGGCGUAAAGGGUGCGUAGGUGGCCUAAAAAGUUUGAUGUGAAAGCUCAGGGCUUAACCCUGAAAUGGCAUUGAAUACUGUUGGGCUGGAGGUUGGAGGGGGGGGACUGGAAUUCUUGGUGUAGCAGUGAAAUGCGUAGAUAUCAAGAGGAACACCAGUGGCGAAGGCGAGUCCCUGGACAACACCUGACACUGAGGCACGAAAGCCGGGGAGCAAACAGG